rnacentral:rRNA from 1 species
AGCGAACGCUGGCGGCAGGCCUAACACAUGCAAGUCGAACGAAGUCUUCGGACUUAGUGGCGGACGGGUGAGUAACACGUGGGAACGUGCCUUUAGGUUCGGAAUAACUCAGGGAAACUUGUGCUAAUACCGAAUGUGCCCUUCGGGGGAAAGAUUUAUCGCCUUUAGAGCGGCCCGCGUCUGAUUAGCUAGUUGGUGAGGUAAAGGCUCACCAAGGCGACGAUCAGUAGCUGGUCUGAGAGGAUGAUCAGCCACAUUGGGACUGAGACAAGGCGCAAACUCCUACGGGAGGCAGCAGUGGGGAAUCUUGCGCAAUGGGCGAAAGCCUGACGCAGCCAUGCCGCGUGAAUGAUGAAGGUCUUAGGAUUGUAAAAUUCUUUCACCGGGGACGAUAAUGACGGUACCCGGAGAAGAAGCCCCGGCUAACUUCGUGCCAGCCGCCGCAGUAAAAC